rnacentral:rRNA from 1 species
UAGCUAGUUGGUGAGGUAAAGGCUUACCAAGGCGACGAUCUGUAGCGGGUCUGAGAGGAUGAUCCGCCACACUGGAACUGAGACACGGUCCAGACUCCUACGGGAGGCAGCAGUGGGGAAUUUUGGACAAUGGGGGCAACCCUGAUCCAGCCAUGCCGCGUGAGUGAAGAAGGCCUUCGGGUUGUAAAGCUCUUUCGGCCGGGAAGAAAUCGCAUGGGCCAAUACCCUGUGUGGAUGACGGUACCGGAAUAAGAAGCACCGGCUAACCACGUGCCAGCAGCCGCGGUAAUACGUAGGGUGCGAGCGUUAAUCGGAAUUACUGGGCGUAAAGCGUGCGCAGGCGGUUUUGUAAGACAGGCGUGAAAUCCCCGGGCUUAACCUGGGAACUGCGUUUGUGACUGCAAGGCUAGAGUACGGCAGAGGGGGGUGGAAUUCCACGUGUAGCAGUGAAAUGCGUAGAGAUGUGGAGGAACACCAAUGGCGGAGGCAGCCCCCUGGGUCGAUACUGACGCUCAUGCACGAAAGCGUGGGUAGCAAACAGGAUUAGAUACCCUGGUAGUCCACGCCCUAAACUAUGUCAACUAGGUGUUGGGUGGGUAAAACCAUUUAGUACCGUAGCUAACGCGUGAAGUUGACCGCCUGGGGAGUACGGCCGCAAGGUUAAAACUCAAAGGAAUUGACGGGGACCCGCACAAGCGGUGGAUGAUGUGGAUUAAUUCGAUGCAACGCGAAAAACCUUACCUACCCUUGACAUGCCAGGAACUUGCCAGAGAUGGCUUGGUGCCCGAAAGGGAGCCUGGACACAGGUGCUGCAUGGCUGUCGUCAGCUCGUGUCGUGAGAUGUUGGGUUAAGUCCCGCAACGAGCGCAACCCUUGUCGUUAAUUGCCAUCAUUUAGUUGGGCACUUUAACGAGACUGCCGGUGACAAACCGGAGGAAGGUGGGGAUGACGUCAAGUCCUCAUGGCCCUUAUGGGUAGGGCUUCACACGUCAUACAAUGGUCGGUACAAAGGGUUGCCAAGCCGCGAGGCGGAGCCAAUCCCAGAAAGCCGAUCGUAGUCCGGAUUGCAGGCUGCAACUCGCCUGCAUGAAGUCGGAAUCGCUAGUAAUCGUGGAUCAGCAUGUCACGGUGAAUACGUUCCCGGGUCUUGUACACACCGCCCGUCACACCAUGGGAGCGGGUUCCGCCGGAAGUAGGUAGCCUAACCGCAAGGGGGGCGCUUACCACGGCGGGGUUCGUGACUGGGGUGAAGUCGUAACAAGGUAGCCGUAGGGGAACCUGCGGCUG